UGCAGUCGAACGGGACUAAAUCUGUAGCAAUACAGGUUUAGUUUAGUGGCGAACGGGUGCGUAACACGUGGGCAAUCUGCCGAGAAGUGGGGGAUAGCUCGCCGAAAGGCGAAUUAAUACCGCAUAUGAUCAGGGACGACAUCUUCCCAACAUCAAAGCCGGGGCAACCUGGCGCUUCUUGAGGAGCCCGCGGCCUAUCAGCUAGUUGGUGAGGUAACGGCUCACCAAGGCUUUGACGGGUAGCUGGUCUGAGAGGACGACCAGUCACACUGGAACUGAGACACGGUCCAGACACCUACGGGUGGCAGCAGUCGAGAAUUUUUCUCAAUGGGCGAAAGCCUGAAGGAGCGACGCCGCGUGGAGGAUGAAGGCUUUCGGGUUGUAAACUCCUGUCAUUUGAGAACAAGUGCUAGCAAGUAACUACUGCUAGCUUGAUAGUAUCAGAAGAGGAAGGGACGGCUAACUCUGUGCCAGCAGCCGCGGUAAUACAGAGGUCCCAAGCGUUGUUCGGAUUCAUUGGGCGUAAAGGGUGCGUAGGUGGCGCCGUAAGUCGGGUGUGAAAUUUCGGAGCUUAACUCCGAAACUGCAUUCGAUACUGCGGUGCUUGAGGACUGGAGAGGAGACUGGAAUUCAUGGUGUAGCAGUGAAAUGCGUAGAGAUCAUGAGGAAGACCAGUGGCGAANGCGGGUCUCUGGACAGUUCCUGACACUGAGGCACGAANGCCAGGGGANCAAACNGGAUUAGAUACCCCGGUAGUCCUGGCAGUAAACGGUGCACGUUUGGUGUGGGGGGAUUCGACCCNUUCCNCGCCGGAACUUACGCGUUAACGUGCCCCUGGGGAGU
rnacentral:rRNA from 1 species